GGAAGAAUAGGAGGAGGAGGAGGAGCAGAAGGAGGUGGAGGAGGAGAAUCAGCCACCACAAAAUAUUUUCACCUUUUCCCCAUCACUCUUUGGUUAAGAUCUGACACUUCUAUUGCCACUCUUAUUAAGGAUUAUGUUUUGCCAUCGCGACCGUGGAGGACAAGGUCCUUCUGAAUUCGUGCUCCUCUCCUGAGGGUAGAUCAGCCAAGAGGACAGCAAGCAUUUCCAUUCCCCUCUUCCUUUGGGACGAAGCAGAACAAGCAAGCAAUCCUGACACAGCCAGAGGGCGCCAAAGUGCCGCGAACGGUAAGCAUGGCGAAUAUAUCUCCUAACCUUGAUGGCUAUUGUUUAUCCCGGGACUACCCUAAGUGGUCGCCGACCAAGACACGCGGACUUAGCAAGGCAAGCCACAGCCUGGCUCGGUGCGCUUCUGGGUAGCAUCUUAAGCAGCCAGAGAACUGGUGACUUCCAUGAAAGCACAGGCACAAAAAGUCGAAGCCCAUUUUCCUAGGGUGCAUUUCUUCUUUUCUUCCUCUCCGAAGUCGGGAGAACAUCCCCCCGAGGGGCGGUGCCGCCCACCCCUCUACCCGGACCUGGGUUCUGGGCGGUGUUGUCUCGCAAAGCUGCAGCCUCCUGGUUGACCCCGAGGGUGAGCAUCUGCCUGGAGACGCCCCAGAUGUGCUUGCCUUGGGGGUACACCCUAAAAACCCGCGCACAUCUGUCUUGAUGGUUUCAAGGGAAAGCAUCGCGUCUUCCCCAAUUUCACUGCCUACGUGAUAGCAGAAUCUCAGCCCGACGUCUGGAGCUGACUGGACUGGGGCGCAGAGAAAGCUGGCUGCGGUGGGGGCGUAGUUCAUCAGCCCCUUAAGUCUGAGCCAG